UACGUAGGUGGCAAGCGUUGUCCGGAAUUACUGGGCGUAAAGGGCGUGUAGGCGGCCUUUUAAGUCAGGCGUGAAAUCCAUGGGCUUAACCCAUGAAUUGCGUUUGAAACUGGAGGGCUUGAGGAUCGGAGAGGGCAGUGGAAUUCCCAGUGUAGCGGUGAAAUGCGUAGAUAUUGGGAGGAACACCAGUGGCGAAGGCGACUGCCUGGACGACACCUGACGCUGAGGCGCGAAAGCUAGGGGAGCAAAC
rnacentral:rRNA from 1 species